AGCGAACGCUGGCGGCAGGCUUAACACAUGCAAGUCGAGCGGGCCCUUCGGGGUCAGCGGCGGACGGGUGAGUAACGCGUGGGAACGUGCCUUCUGGUCUGGAAUAACCCUGGGAAACUAGGGCUAAUACCGGAUACGCCCUUUUGGGGAAAGGUUUACUGCCGGAAGAUCGGCCCGCGUCUGAUUAGCUAGUUGGUGGGGUAACGGCCUACCAAGGCGACGAUCAGUAGCUGGUCUGAGAGGAUGAUCAGCCACACUGGGACUGAGACACGGCCCAGACUCCUACGGGAGGGAGCAGUGGGGAAUAUUGGACAAUGGGCGCAAGCCUGAUCCAGCCAUGCCGCGUGAGUGAUGAAGGCCUUAGGGUUGUAAAGCUCUUUUAUCCGGGACGAUAAUGACGGUACCGGAGGAAUAAGCCCCGGCUAACUUCGUG
rnacentral:rRNA from 1 species